GACGAACUGCCCAAACGUUGUUCGGAAUCACUGGGCUUAAAGGGUGCGUAGGCGGCUUGUCAAGUCAGGGGUGAAAUCCUGCAGCUUAACUGUAGAAGUGCCUUUGAUACUGGUCGUCUCGAGGGAGGUAGGGGUGUGUGGAACUUCCAGUGGAGCGGUGAAAUGCGUUGAUAUUGGAAGGAACGCCGGAGGCGAAAGCGACGCACUGGACCUCUUCUGACGCUGAGGCGCGAAAGCUAGGGGAGCAAACGGG
rnacentral:rRNA from 1 species